UACGUAGGGGGCAAGCGUUGUCCGGAUUUAUUGGGCGUAAAGCGCUCGCAGGCGGCCCGAUGCGUCGUGCGUGAAACACCCCGGCUCAACUGGGGAGGGUCGUGCGAUACGGUCGGGCUUGAGGCCAGUAGGGGGAUGCGGAAUUCCGGGUGUAGUGGUGGAAUGCGUAGAGAUCCGGAGGAACACCAGCGGCGAAGGCGGCAUCCUGGACUGGUACUGAC
rnacentral:rRNA from 1 species